rnacentral:misc_RNA from 1 species
CACGUCUCAAGCCCGCCUCGGGCCGUCUCUACUGGAACUCACCCAGUUCGGAACUCCGUUCGUCAUCUACAGGCAGGCAGGCAGCCAACCAGCUGUUCAGGGUCAGGCCAUCCUGAGUGCCUCCCUGAACCCGAUGCUGAAGCUGUUCUGCAGGCCGGCCUUCUUGUUGGGCAGACCCGCCGGCGGCUUCUGCAUCAUCGCGACGAACUCGUUGUAGUCUAUGCGGCCGUCCUGCAACCACCACCACCACCACAACGACAACAACGACAAAAAAAAAAGAAUGGUCAGAAUAACUCAGCUGCAGAAACAGAAAGGCUACGCGUCACCCAGACAGAGUUGUGAGUCAGAGAGAAGAGAACGAACGUUGUCCUGGUCGACCUCCCCGAUCACGUCCUCCAGCUGGACGUCGCCCAGGCCGAACUCCUCGCACGCCACCUGCAGCUCGUCGGCGGUGAUGUAUCCGCUGCCGUCCUUGUCGAAGUACUGGAACGCCGCGAACAGGUGGUCCUCCCGCUCCACCUUGUUCAGGUGCAGCGUGGCCGCGAUGAACUCGCCGUAGUCGAUCGUGCCGUUGUUGUCCACGUCCGCCUGCGCGUCGCUCUUUCAGCGGGGAGUUCUGUGGCUUCUCAAAAAAAAACACACACACGCG